AGUGAACGCUGGCGGUAGGCCUAACACAUGCAAGUCGAACGAGCGGCGGACGGGUGAGUAAUACAUCGGAAUCUACCCUGUCGCGGGGGAUAACGUAGGGAAACUUACGCUAAUACCGCAUACGAUUGGAUGAGCCGAUGUUGGAUUAGCUAGUUGGCGGGGUAAAGGCCCACCAAGGCGACGAUCCGUAGCUGGUCUGAGAGGAUGAUCAGCCACACUGGAACUGAGACACGGUCCAGACUCCUACGGGAGGCAGCAGUGGGGAAUAUUGGACAAGGGGCGCAAGCCUGAUCCAGCCAUACCGCGUGUGUGAAGAAGGCCUUCGGGUUGUAAAGCCCUUUUGUUGAGAAAGCGGUACCCAAAGAAUAAGCACCGGCUAACUCCGUGCCAGCAGCCGCGGUAAUAC
rnacentral:rRNA from 1 species